UCUUUUAAAGCAAGGACCGGUUGAUAUUUUAAAAAGAGCAAAAAGAAUAAAAGGACAAUCCUUUUAUUCCCUCAGAAAAGCAUAAAAACUUGAUUGACGGAAUAUUUUCUUAGAAAUGUCUGGACCACUGGAACACUUGAAGAGUUGACUACAUGGGGAUUCAAGAAAUUUGCUCUUUCCCUUUUUAAUGUCUUAAUAAUUUUUUAUUGUGCUUUUCUUGCUAACAAAGACUUGACGUAUUGCAAAGGAAGAUAGCUAAAUAGAACUUGCAAAACACAAAUUAGCUUCUUGUUUAUUUUUUCUAUGAUACCAACUUGGAAGCAAUUUCUUCAAUGUUUUUAUCUGAACUUCCUCCUUCAUCAACAGCAUUUCUAGCCAAUUCCUUCCAUUUCUUUACAUUUUCCCUAAUAACUUUUCCUUUCUCUUCUUCCAUCACUAGUUUUAUAUAUUCUUCAAUAACCUCUCUUCUAACUAUCCCUUUUUCGUCUUGUUUGGCUCUAAUACCCAUUUCCCAAACAUCUUGCACAAGCUUUGCAAUACACAAGAAGUCACUUUGAGCUAAUUAAUCCACGUUGACACAUUGUCGAAUGUAUCAAAUGUGAAACUCGUCAGUAUAUGAAUGCUCUAAAUGACAACUACAAGUUCAACACUUCAAGUUAUCACCUCAAUCAAGGAAAUGAAGAGAUUGACAGGCUUUACAGAUUAAUUAGUUCCCAAGGAAGGAAUGGAUCAUAAACUAUGCAAUUCACAGGGCACUCACAAUUUGUCAAUUUUUGAAUAAGCUGAGUCAGAGUAUCCGAGCCAACUUCUUUGAAUCGCGUUAUGUAGGCCAAGAAAGAUUCUGCUUGGUCGAUGCCACCAUCGUCAUAUCCAUCGGAUAUGGCCUCAAUUGACACUGAAGUUGGUAAUUCUUGCAUGGUUUUCAAGAAUGAUUUUGUUGGUGCUAUAGUGAUUUUGACACC